rnacentral:rRNA from 1 species
GACGAACGCUGGCGGCGUGCUUAACACAUGCAAGUGGAGCGACGAACCGACCUUCGGGUCGGGGCAGAGCCGCGAACGGGUGAGUAACACGUGGGUAACCUACCCCGAUGACCGGGACAACCCGAGGAAACUCGGGCUAAUACCGGAUGAGCUCUUAUUCUUUGAGGAGUAAGAGGAAAGAUAGCUUCGGCCUUCGCAUCGGGACGGGCCCGCGGCCCAUUAGCUUGUUGGUGGGGUAAUGGCCUACCAAGGCUUCGAUGGGUAGCUGGUCUGAGAGGACGAUCAGCCACACUGGGACUGAGACACGGCCCAGACUCCUACGGGAGGCAGCAGUGGGGAAUCUUGCACAAUGCGCGAAAGCGUGAUGCAGCAACGCCGCGUGGGGGAAGAAGGCCUUCGGGUUGUAAACCCCUUUCAGUUGGGACGAAGCUUCGCCGGUGAAUAGCCGGCUGGAGUGACGGUACCUUCACAAGAAGCCCCGGCUAACUACGUGCCAGCAGCCGCAGUAACAC